ACUUUAAAGCUUUGAUUGAUUGAUUGAGACUUUUAUUAGUAGAUUGCACAGUUAAGUACAUAUUCCCUACAAUUGACCACUAAAUGGUAACACCCCAAUAAGUUUUUACACUUGUUUAAAAGUCGGGGUCCACGUAAAUCAAUUCAUGACUGAGAUUUCAACCGGAAGUAGAAGUGCCGUUCUGUCUUCUAGCUGUCCAUAACGUUUCUACUCGUAUGGAUUCUUCAUUCAUCAGUCCAAGCAACGUUUCGCUGCGGUACUUUGAUGGUCCACUGUCUCCCUGCACACUGAGUCUACAGGAAACAAGAAGGGUCCAGUAAAUGUUUUACACGUUCAGUGUGAAAUGAUCUUGCCUUGACCAUCUUAAAAAGGCACUAUCGAGAAGAGAGGGAGGGAAGGCAUGGUUAGCAGUGAUGGGUGCAAGACUCCAAAUACUCUGUAAGCCAGACGGAACCCAAACACCUUCCAUUAUCUAAUCUCACAGAUGGCAUGUUUGCAGGGGUUACCUUCCGAGACAACGCAAAUCUACCAUGGCCCCCCAAUCUUUUGAGCGGUAAAAAGGUUGGACUUUAGGGUUGAGGUGUACAGUUUCCAAGACAAUGGAACACAAACACAAACAUGAUGUUCACUUACAUGUUUGGAGAGGAGCUUCCCAUCUUUGUACUGCACUGUGCCGUUCUCAGCAAACACAUAGUCAAACUUGUGUAAGACUGCAGAAGAAGAGAGGUGUCAAUCAUGGCAAGGACUUCAGUCACACUUGUGUAAGACUGCAGAAGAAGAGAGGUGUCAAUCAUGGCAAGGACUUCUCCAAUACUACAAGUCUGAUGUUCACAGUUUGUAGAAAAACUAUAGUCAUUUCUAAUAACUUGCUAUUGGUGUGUAACAUGUUUAAUCUCGUCCUCCAGUGAUAAUGGUACCUGAUAAUGAUAAUUAUCAUUAUAAACCGCCGAUA